AACGAACGCUGGCGGCAGGCCUAACACAUGCAAGUCGAGCGCCCCGCGAGGGGAGCGGCAGACGGGUGAGUAACGCGUGGGAAUCUACCCAGUGGUACGGAAUAGCCCAGGGAAACUUGGGGUAAUACGGUAUAAGCCCGCAAGGGGAAAGAUUUAUCGCCAUUGGAUGAGCCCGCGUUGGAUUAGCUUGUGGUGGGGUAACGGCCUACCAAGGCGACGAUCCAUAGCUGGUCUGAGAGGAUGAUCAGUCACACUGGAACUGAAACACGGUCCAGACUCCCACGGGAGGCAGCAGUUGGGAAUAUUGGACAAUGGGGAAACCCUGAUCCAGCAAUCCCGCGUGAGUGAUGAAGGCCUUCGGGUCGUAAAGCUCUUUCAGUAGGGAAGAAUAACUGACGGUACCUACAGAAGAAGCACCGGCUAACUCCGUGCCAGCAGCCGCGGUAAU
rnacentral:rRNA from 1 species